rnacentral:rRNA from 1 species
GCGAACGGGUGAGUAACACAUCGGAACGUAUCCAUGAGUGGGGGAUAACCAGUCGAAAGACUGGCUAAUACCGCAUGAGCAAGCAAUUGGAAAGUGGGGGAUCGCAAGACCUCACGCUCUAGGAGCGGCCGAUGUCCGAUUAGCUAGUAGGCGGGGUAAGAGCCCACCUAGGCGACGAUCGGUAGCUGGUCUGAGAGGAUGAUCAGCCACACUGGGACUGAGACACGGCCCAGACUCC